rnacentral:rRNA from 1 species
AUUGAACGCUGGCGGCAAGCCUAACACAUGCAAGUCGAACGAGUGGCGGACGGGUGAGUAAUGUCUGGGAAACUGCCUGAUGGAGGGGGAUAACUACUGGAAACGGUAGCUAAUACCGCAUACCAUCGGAUGUGCCCAGAUGGGAUUGGCUAGUAGGUGGGGUAAAGGCUCACCUAGGCGACGAUCCCGAGCUGGUCUGAGAGGAUUACCAGCCCAGUUGGAACUGAGAAACGGUCCAUGCUCCUCCGGGAGGCAGCAGUGGGGAAUAUUGGACCAUGGGCGCAGGCCUGAUGCAGCCAUGCCGCGUGUAUGAAGAAGGCCUUCGGGUUGUAAAGUACUUUCAGCCGGGAGGCGUUACCCGCAGAAGAAGCACCGGCUAACUCCGUGCCAGCCGCCGCGGUAAUAC